AGAGGGGGGAAGAGAGAUAGAGAGUGCGUGUGUGUGUGAGUGUGUGUAUGUGUGUGUCUGUAAUGUAUUCCUGCCUGUGGCUGGGCUGGUCACAUGGGGAGAGAGCAGGCUGUUUAAAACAGCCUCUGCUCUCUCACUCAGAGCAGUGUGAGACACAGAGACAGACGCACACGUUCUCUCUCUCUCUCCCUCUCCUUCACGCGUGCACACACACAUGCUCAUGCACGCAGACGGCAACUUUCCUCUAUCGGACUGACACAGCACACACGCCGGGAUAGACACUCUCCCCUCGCUACAGUGCAGAAGAGGAUAAAGAGUGACAGAUCAGGAAAAAAAAGAAAUACAGAAAAAGAGGAGGUUCCCACUUUCUUUCUCAAGAUUCCCUCUUUAUCCCCCAAUAUAUCUUUUCCAACCCAUUUACUUCUCCUUUCCUCCCUUGCUCAACCUCUCUCUGUUGAUGUCUCCUCACCCUUCCCUCUCCCCCCUCAUCCUUCACUUCUACUCUCUCAGGUCCACUUACCUUCUCUUCUACACUCCUUUUUUUUCCUCCUCCUCGCCUCUCCUCUCCUCUCCCAUCCCCACCUCCCAAAUGCUGGUGUUUAUGCUUCAGACAGAAGAAAGGUAAGGUAAAACUAGGAUAAUAUUUCCCCUAACAUACUUACUGCCUGGGUAAACAUCCUCCGACAGAUGUCCGAGCGUGGGCCUGAUCAGAGGAGGGCGGGGAAUCUUGCUGCUGUAACGUACACAAAGGGCUACAAAUUGGAAGCCGGUGUGGAGAAUGGGGGGAUAGAGGAGUAGGGAGGUAUAGAGGUAGAGUCAGUGACUUCUCGCCUUGAAAACUUAACAGUAUCUUGAGGGUUGGGUUCUUAAGCUUUUUUCUUUGGCAGUGUUAAGACUAAAUGUAUCAGGGUUCUUACCUCUAGCUGGCAAUGGCAAUCACUAUCUCUUGUUGGAAGGACAAGCAUUACUUUACCUUAUUACCCAAUUAAUUAAUCUGACAGUUGAAACUUUUGGCUGCGGUCUGGUUCAUGUGAUCGCUGCAAGCAGGUGUCCAAACUCGGCCAAAGAUGGAUUGUUAGCAUAAGAACCUGCACUCUCCAAAAAGGC
ensembl:lncRNA